UACGGAGGGGGCUAGCGUUGUUCGGAAUUACUGGGCGUAAAGGGCGCGUAGGCGGCCUGUUAAGUCGAACGUGAAAUCCCCGGGCUCAACCCGGGAACUGCGUCCGAUACUGGCAGGCUUGAAUCCGGGAGAGGGAUGCGGAAUUCCAGGUGUAGCGGUGAAAUGCGUAGAUAUCUGGAGGAACACCGGUGGCGAAGGCGGCAUCCUGGACCGGCAUUGACGCUGAGGCGCGAAAGCCAGGGGAGCAAACGGG
rnacentral:rRNA from 1 species